rnacentral:sRNA from 1 species
AAUAUCAGGUUAUAAUAUAAGACAUGCUAAAGGAGAAAACCCAAUUCCUAUUUUCUUUAAUCAAGGAAUGGGAGAUUCUACUUUGGAGUUCCAUUCCAUCCUGAGUUUUGGCGUUGAGUCUUCGAUUAAAUAUUCAAAUAGCAUCAAGGAAAUGGUUAUUCUCUUUGCCACAACAAUUUAUAGAAUUGGAUUGAAAGUGCCGCCUGAUGAAACGGAUCCUCGAGUCCCCAUGCUGACCUGGAGCACCUGUGCUUUCACUAUCCAGGCAAUUGGUAAAGCUCAUAAGAAAACUGGUUUGGAGGUUUCAGUGAGAAUUAACUUUGAUCAUUCAUUCUUAAAUUCUUUUUUUCACUGAUGGCCCAGAAUAAUUUGACUUGUAUGAGGACUAUUAGUAUUUCAGUGUAUUAGUGUGGCUUAUGCCAUUUGGUCUGAUAAUUUUUUUAUGUUGAUCUCUUUUUAACUAUGAUUGUGGCCAUAUGCAACAUAAGUUAAAAAAAAUAUUUUUAAAAAGCUGGGCACGGUGGAUUAUGCCUGGGAGGCUGAGCUUUGGGAGGCUGAGGUGGGAGGAUAACUUGAGAGCAGGAGUUUGAGACCAGCC